GACUUGGAGUGAAGACACUUGGCAGUGGAACUGGACCCCUGGAGGAACUCAUGCAGGAGACAUCAGACUACUUUCUUUUUAGAUGGUCACCGGGUGACUGUAAAGGCUGACUUAUUUCCUUGCCCAUUCUGGAGGAAGCCCCAAGAACUCCCGAGGCUGUUCUCUACCUCACUUCCUGCGUCUCACAUGUGCCAAUGGUGGCUCUAGCUUGACCUAGGACCGCCCAGAGAGACUAAUACACUGUGGUAUAAUCUAAUGUAAUGGACUUCUCCAUUAGUGGCGGUGUAAUGUCCCUGAACAAUCUGCAGGGAUCUAGGAGAAAAAACACUAUCCAUAAGCAGAG